CUAUUUGAUGUAUGUGUUGGGAGAGAAAUUUAAUUGAAUUGGGAGAAGCUCAAUCCAAUAAUCGAGGCAAACUCUGAAUACUAGGUAUGACCUCAAAAUAACAAGGGUCAAGGUCGGCCAGCGAGACGAUGGGGGAUAAGCUUCAUCGUCGAGAGGGAAACAGCCCGGAUCACCAACUAAGGCCCCUAAAUGACCGCUCAGUGAUAAAGGAGGUAGGGGUGCAGAGACAACCAGGAGGUUUGCCUAGAAGCAUCCACCCUUGAAAGAGUGCAUAAUAGCUCACUGAUCGAGCGCUCUUGCGCCGAAGAUGAACAGGGCUAAGCGAUAUGCCGAAGCUGUGGGAUGUAAAAAUGAAUCGGUAGGGGAGCGUUCCACCUUAGAGGGAAGGACCCGCGUGAGCAUUGUUGGACGAAGCGGAAGCG
rnacentral:ncRNA from 1 species